rnacentral:lncRNA from 1 species
GAAGAGCAUGCUCUCCAGCAUUGAUGGGGAUGAUGAGAACUAAGGUUGCAUUUCCUUUCUUUGCCACCCUAGGUUACUACUGUAAGACCACAGUGUAUGAGAGUGAUUACAACAUGCCUUUGCCAGGUAGUUUUGUAGGUGUUGGUAGGAUAAAGCAAGCUUUACCUGAGGUUAUGUUGUACCAUAGGCUAAUUAUAAAGAGCAAACGAUUGAAUCCAUUUUCCUGUGAGCGUUAUGCUCUGAUUCGGCGUGGAAUGUAAUGCCAUUUGCAAGGAGUAAACUCCAAAGGUUUAAUGGAUUAUGUGUAAUUUCAACUACAGCAUUAUGUUUUCAUGGAAGCAGCAAAUGUGGCUGUAGUUGGAUAAGAAAGAUAACAUUAAGAGCUACAAAUAUAGAAAGAACAUAUUGGGGAGCCAUUUU